UUAAGUGCAUGUGGUGGAUGCCUUGGCAGUCAGAGGCGAUGAAAGACGUGAUAGCCUGCGAAAAGCUCCGGGGAGGCGGCAAAUAUCCUUUGAUCCGGAGAUGUCUGAAUGGGGGAACCCACCUACUUUAAGGUAGGUAUUGCAACAUGAAUACAUAGUGUUGCAAGGCGAACGAGGGGAAGUGAAACAUCUCAGUACCCUUAGGAAAAGAAAUCAAUUGAGAUUCCCUCAGUAGCGGCGAGCGAACGGGGAUCAGCCCAUUAAGUUAUGUGUGUUUUAGUGGAACGCUCUGGGAAGUGCGAACGUAGAGGGUGAUAUUCCCGUACACGAAAGGGCACACAUAAUGAUGACGAGUAGGGCGAGGCACGUGAAACCUUGUCUGAAUAUGGGGGGACCAUCCUCCAAGGCUAAAUACUCCUGACUGACCGAUAGUGAACCAGUACCGUGAGGGAAAGGCGAAAAGAACCCCUGUGAGGGGAGUGAAAUAGAUCCUGAAACCGCAUGCAUACAAGCAGUGGGAGCACCUUCGUGGUGUGACUGCGUACCUUUUGUAUAAUGGGUCAGCGACUUAUAUUCAGUAGCAAGGUUAACCGUAUAGGGGAGCCGUAGAGAAAUCGAGUCUUAAUAGGGCGUUUAGUUGCUGGGUAUAGACCCGAAACCAGGCGAUCUAUCCAUGAGCAGGUUGAAGGUUGGGUAACACUAACUGGAGGACCGAACCCACUGUCGUUGAAAAGCCAGGGGAUGACUUGUGGAUAGGGGUGAAAGGCUAAUCAAGCCUGGUGAUAGCUGGUUCUCCCCGAAAGCUAUUUAGGUAGCGCCUCGGACGAAUACCAUAGGGGGUAGAGCACUGUUUCGGCUAGGGGGUCAUCCCGACUUACCAAACCGAUGCAAACUCCGAAUACCUAUGAGUACUAUCCGGGAGACAGACUGCGGGUGCUAACGUCCGUAGUCAAGAGGAAAACAAUCCAGACCGCCAGCUAAGGCCCCAAAAUCAUAGUUAAGUGGGAAACGAUGUGGGAAGGCAUAGACAGCUAGGAGGUUGGCUUAGAAGCAGCCACCCUUUAAAGAAAGCGUAAUAGCUCACUAGUCGAGUCGGCCUGCGCGGAAGAUGUAACGGGGCUAAAACUAUGUGCCGAAGCUGCGGAUGUAUACNUUGUANACGUGGUAGGGGAGCGUUCUGUAAGCCGAUGAAGGUGUGUUGAGAAGCAUGCUGGAGGUAUCAGAAGUGCGAAUGCUGACGUGAGUAACGACAAAACGGGUGAAAAACCCGUUCGCCGAAAGACCAAGGGUUCCAGUCCAACGUUAAUCGGGGCUGGGUGAGUCGACCCCUAAGGCGAGGCCGAAAGGCGUAGUCGAUGGGAAAAUGGUUAAUAUUCCAUUACUUCUGUGUAAUGCGAUGAGAGGACGGAGAAGGCUAAAUCAGCCUGGCGUUGGUUGUCCAGGUGAAAGGAUGUAGGCAUGUAUCUUAGGCAAAUCCGGGGUACUCUAUGCUGAGAUCUGAUAGCAAGCUGUACUUGUACAGCGAAGUGGUUGAUGCCAUGCUUCCAGGAAAAGUCUCUAAGCUUCAGUUACACAGGAAUCGUACCCGAAACCGACACAGGUGGUCAGGUCGAGUAGACCAAGGCGCUUGAGAGAACUCUGCUGAAGGAACUAGGCAAAAUGGUACCGUAACUUCGGGAGAAGGUACGCUGUUGUUGGUGAUGGAACUCGCUUCCUGAGCUGACGACAGCCGCAGAAACCAGGCCGCUGCAACUGUUUAUUAAAAACAUAGCACUCUGCAAACACGAAAGUGGACGUAUAGGGUGUGAUGCCUGCCCGGUGCUGGAAGGUUAAUUGAUGGGGUUAGCGUAAGCGAAGCUCUUGAUCGAAGCCCCAGUAAACGGCGGCCGUAACUAUAACGGUCCUAAGGUAGCGAAAUUCCUUGUCGGGUAAGUUCCGACCUGCACGAAUGGCAUAAUGAUGGCGGCGCUGUCUCCAGCAGAGGCUCAGUGAAAUCGAAAUCGCUGUGAAGAUGCAGUGUACCCGCGGCUAGACGGAAAGACCCCGUGAACCUUUACUGCAGCUUGACACUGAACUUUGACCUUACUUGUGUAGGAUAGGUGGGAGGCUUUGAAGCUGGAACGCUAGUUCCAGUGGAGCCGUCCUUGAAAUACCACCCUGGUAAUGUUGAGGUUCUAACUCUGUCCCGUGAUCCGGGACGAGGACCGUGUCUGGUGGGUAGUUUGACUGGGGCGGUCUCCUCCUAAAGAGUAACGGAGGAGUACGAAGGUGCGCUCAGCGUGGUCGGAAAUCACGCGUAGAGUAUAAAGGCAAAAGCGCGCUUAACUGCGAGACCCACAAGUCGAGCAGGUACGAAAGUAGGUCUUAGUGAUCCGGUGGUUCUGUAUGGAAGGGCCAUCGCUCAACGGAUAAAAGGUACUCUGGGGAUAACAGGCUGAUACCGCCCAAGAGUUCAUAUCGACGGCGGUGUUUGGCACCUCGAUGUCGGCUCAUCUCAUCCUGGGGCUGAAGCAGGUCCCAAGGGUAUGGCUGUUCGCCAUUUAAAGAGGUACGCGAGCUGGGUUUAGAACGUCGUGAGACAGUUCGGUCCCUAUCUACCGUGGGCGCUGGAAAUUUGAGAGGAUCUGCUCCUAGUACGAGAGGACCAGAGUGGACGAACCUCUGGUGUACCGGUUGUGACGCCAGUCGCAUCGCCGGGUAGCUAUGUUCGGAAGGGAUAACCGCUGAAAGCAUCUAAGCGGGAAGCCUACCUCAAGAUAAGAUUUCCCUAGGACUUUAUGUCCUCUAAAGAGCCGUUCGAGACUAGGACGUUGAUAGGUUGGAUGUGGAAGCAUAGUGAUAUGUGAAGCUGACCAAUACUAAUUGCUCGUGAGGCUUGACU
rnacentral:rRNA from 1 species